rnacentral:rRNA from 1 species
CCUACGGGUGGCUGCAGUGGGGAAUAUUGGACAAUGGGCGAAAGCCUGAUCCAGCCAUGCCGCGUGUGUGAAGAAGGCCUUCGGGUUGUAAAGCACUUUCAGUGGGGAAGAAAGCCUUGGGGCUAAUACCCUCGAGGAAGGACAUCACCCACAGAAGAAGCACCGGCUAACUCCGUGCCAGCAGCCGCGGUAAUACGGAGGGUGCGAGCGUUAAUCGGAAUUACUGGGCGUAAAGCGCGUGUAGGCGGUCUGAUAAGCCGGUUGUGAAAGCCCCGGGCUCAACCUGGGAACGGCAUCCGGAACUGUCAGGCUAGAGUGCAGGAGAGGAAGGUAGAAUUCCCGGUGUAGCGGUGAAAUGCGUAGAGAUCGGGAGGAAUACCAGUGGCGAAGGCGGCCUUCUGGACUGACACUGACGCUGAGGUGCGAAAGCGUGGGUAGCAAACAGGAUUAGAUACCCGUGUAGUC